UCUAAAUAAAAAUAAAUCAAAAA
rnacentral:snRNA from 1 species